ACAGAUACCCCAUAACAUUGCUCAAUUGUAAUGAAGCCAGCCUCUUUUUUGAGUCUGGACAUCAGAAAAUGUUGGCUUUAUGGCAAUGUUACAGCAGAAAAGUGUAGAUGUCAUGGAUCCUUUUUGCUCAUUCUGUGCCUACUAUACCUUGUGGGAUGAUGACAACCAAACUUCAAAGGAAUGCACAGGAGUGUGCAUUGCUGUGGAGGAAGGCAGGCUUUGAAAUCUGACUGACUGAAUAGUUCAGUGCGAGAACAUCCAUCUGCCUCUGAAAGAGCCAUAAAUAGUGAUGAUGACAGUGAUGGAAACUGAGCUGCAUAACUUGGUAGGAAGAACAGAUCUAAAUGCAGUCUACGUAGGAAGGUUGAAAACUGAGGCAUGUGCUACAACCUACCUCCAAAACACUCACUGCUGAUCGUUAGGAAAUACAGUUUGGAACCAUGCUGAACUGGAUAAUACCUCAGCAGGUCCAAAGGUGGAUGGAGACCAAAGGCACUGUUAGACCCAAGUUGCUCUUAUUGCAAUUUGCCAUGAAGAUGGAAGUCUUCCAGAGUAAACUUCUUUCCAGACUAACAACAGACAUUGCAGAAAUUGGUGGAGGAAGAAAGGAAAACAUAGAAACAAUGUCAUAG
rnacentral:lncRNA from 1 species